GACCCCAGGUCAGGCGGGGUUACCCG
rnacentral:rRNA from 1 species